rnacentral:piRNA from 1 species
UUCAACAACGGCAAACGUAGGCGGAGC